GACGAACGCUGGCGGCGUGCUUAACACAUGCAAGUCGAACGGAAAGGCCCUGCUUUUGUGGGGUUCUCGAUUGGCGAACGGGUGAGUAACACGUGAGUAACCUGCCCUUGACUUUGGGAUAACUUCAGGAAACUGGGGCUAAUACCCGGUAGGAGCUCCUGAUGCACGGUGUGGGUUGGAAAGUUUCGGCGGUUGGGGAUGGACUCGCGGCUUAUCAGCUUCUUGGUGGGGUAGUGGCUUACCAAGGCUGUGACGGGUAGCCGGCCUGAGAGGGUGACCGGCCACAUUGGGACUGCGAUACGGACCAGACUCCUACGGGAGGCAGCAGUGGGGAAUAUUGCACAAUGGGCGGAAGCCUGAUGCAGCAACGCCGCGUGCGGGAUGACGGCCUUCGGGUUGUAAACCGCUUUCGCCUGUGACGAAGCGUGAGUGACGGUAAUGGGUAAAGAAGCACCGGCUAACUACGUG
rnacentral:rRNA from 1 species